rnacentral:rRNA from 1 species
AGCGAACGCUGGCGGCAGGCUUAACACAUGCAAGUCGAGCGGGCCCUUCGGGGUCAGCGGCAGACGGGUGAGUAACACGUGGGAACGUACCCUUUGGUUCGGAAUAACGCUGGGAAACUAGCGCUAAUACCGGAUACGCCCUUUUGGGGAAAGGCUUGCUGCCGAAGGAUCGGCCCGCGUCUGAUUAGCUAGUUGGUGGGGUAAUGGCCUACCAAGGCGACGAUCAGUAGCUGGUCUGAGAGGAUGAUCAGCCACGCUGGGACUGCGACACGGCCCAGACUCCUACGGGAGGCAGCAGUGGGGAAUAUUGGACGAUGGGCGCAAGCCUGAUCCAGCCAUGCCGCGUGAGUGAUGAAGGCCUUAGGGUUGUAAAGCCCUUUUGUCCGGGACGAUAAUGACGGUACCGGAAGAAUAAGCCCCGGCUAACUUCGUG